AGUGAACGCUGGCGGUAGGCCUAACACAUGCAAGUCGAACGGCAGCACAGUAAGAGCUUGCUCUUACGGGUGGCGAGUGGCGUACGGGUGAGGAAUACAUCGGAAUCUACUUUUUCGUGGGGGAUAACGUAGGGAAACUUACGCUAAUACCGCAUACGACCUACGGGUGAAAGCAGGGGAUCUUCGGACCUUGCGCGAUUGAAUGAGCCGAUGUCGGAUUAGCUAGUUGGCGGGGUAAAGGCCCACCAAGGCGACGAUCCGUAGCUGGUCUGAGAGGAUGAUCAGCCACACGGGAACUGAGACACGGUCCAGACUCCUACGGGAGGCAGCAGUGGGGAAUAUUGGACAAUGGGCGCAAGCCUGAUCCAGCCAUACCGCGUGGGUGAAGAAGGCCUUCGGGUUGUAAAGCCCUUUUGUUGGGAAAGAAAAGCAGCAGGUUAAUACCCCGCUGUUCUGACGGUACCCAAAGAAUAAGCACCGGCUAACUUCGUG
rnacentral:rRNA from 1 species